UAGCUAGUUGGUGAGGUAAAGGCUUACCAAGGCGACGAUCUGUAGCGGGUCUGAGAGGAUGAUCCGCCACACUGGAACUGAGACACGGUCCAGACUCCUACGGGAGGCAGCAGUGGGGAAUUUUGGACAAUGGGGGCAACCCUGAUCCAGCCAUGCCGCGUGAGUGAAGAAGGCCUUCGGGUUGUAAAGCUCUUUCGGCCGGGAAGAAAUCGCAUGGGCCAAUACCCUGUGUGGAUGACGGUACCGGAAUAAGAAGCACCGGCUAACUACGUGCCAGCAGCCGCGGUAAUACGUAGGGUGCGAGCGUUAAUCGGAAUUACUGGGCGUAAAGCGUGCGCAGGCGGUUUUGUAAGACAGGCGUGAAAUCCCCGGGCUUAACCUGGGAACUGCGUUUGUGACUGCAAGGCUAGAGUACGGCAGAGGGGGGUGGAAUUCCACGUGUAGCAGUGAAGUGCGUAGAGAUGUGGAGGAACACCAAUGGCGAAGGCAGCCCCCUGGGUCGAUACUGACGCUCAUGCACGAAAGCGUGGGUAGCAAACAGGAUUAGAUACCCUGGUAGUCCACGCCCUAAACUAUGUCAACUAGGUGUUGGGUGGGUAAAACCAUUUAGUACCGUAGCUAACGCGUGAAGUUGACCGCCUGGGGAGUACGGCCGCAAGGUUAAAACUCAAAGGAAUUGACGGGGACCCGCACAAGCGGUGGAUGAUGUGGAUUAAUUCGAUGCAACGCGAAAAACCUUACCUACCCUUGACAUGCCAGGAACUUGCCAGAGAUGGCUUGGUGCCCGAAAGGGAGCCUGGACACAGGUGCUGCAUGGCUGUCGUCAGCUCGUGUCGUGAGAUGUUGUGUUAAGUCCCGCAACGAGCGCAACCCUUGUCGUUAAUUGCCAUCAUUUAGUUGGGCACUUUAACGAGACUGCCGGUGACAAACCGGAGGAAGGUGGGGAUGACGUCAAGUCCUCAUGGCCCUUAUGGGUAGGGCUUCACACGUCAUACAAUGGUCGGUACAAAGGGUUGCCAAGCCGCGAGGCGGAGCCAAUCCCAGAAAGCCGAUCGUAGUCCGGAUUGCAGGCUGCAACUCGCCUGCAUGAAGUCGGAAUCGCUAGUAAUCGUGGAUCAGCAUGUCACGGUGAAUACGUUCCCGGGUCUUGUACACACCGCCCGUCACACCAUGGGAGCGGGUUCCGCCAGAAGUAGGUAGCCUAACCGCAAGGGGGGCGCUUACCACGGCGGGGUUCGUGACUGGGGUGAAGUCGGAACAAGGUAGCCGUAGGGGAACCUGCGGCUG
rnacentral:rRNA from 1 species